rnacentral:rRNA from 1 species
AACGAACGCUGGCGGCAUGCCUAACACAUGCAAGUCGAACGAGACCUUCGGGUCUAGUGGCGCACGGGUGCGUAACGCGUGGGAACCUGCCCUUAGGUUCGGAAUAACUCCCCGAAAGGGGUGCUAAUACCGGAUAAUGUCUUCGGACCAAAGAUUUAUCGCCUUUGGAUGGGCCCGCGUUGGAUUAGCUAGUUGGUAGGGUAAAAGCCUACCAAGGCGACGAUCCAUAGCUGGUCUGAGAGGAUGAUCAGCCACACUGGGACUGAGACACGGCCCAGACUCCUACGGGCGGCCGCCGCGGGGCCUCUUGGCCCCUGGGCGAAAGCCUGAUCCAGCAAUGCCGCGUGAGUGAUGAAGGCCUUAGGGUUGUAAAGCUCUUUUACCCGGGAUGAUAAUGACAGUACCGGGCGAAUAAGCUCCGGCUCACUCCGU